CAAAGAACUUUGAAGAGAGAGUUCAAGAGAACGUGAAAUCGCUGGAGUGGAACCGGAGAGAGUUGACGUAACCUUGUGGCUAAGUUUUUUGAGGUCGGUUAACUCCGAUUUCGAGGAAUGGACGCUGCUUAUGGUUGCGCUGGUGGCGUUGAUUGUGCUAGCUGACCCGUAUAUUGUUGCCCACUUCGGUGGUGUCUUAUGUGCGGUUAGGCUGGUCACGGUUAACGUUUAGCUCUGCUUGCAGAGUACCAGUGUGAAAGUCGACCACCUUUCCGACCCGUCUUGAAACACGGACCGAGGAGUGUAACUUGUGCGCGAGUCAAAGGGUGGUAAACCCCACGGCGUAAUGAAAGUAAAGACCGGUUAACCGGUUGACAUAGGAUCCGUUCUUUGAGCGGCGCACUAUGGCCCUGUCUUGUCUGCUUGCAGAUGGGCAGAGGAAGAGCGUACAGGUUGCGACCCGAAAGAUGGUGAACUAUGCCUGAGCAGGACGAAGCCAGAGGAAACUCUGGUGGAAGUCCGUAUCGGUUCUGACGUGCAAAUCGAUCGAUAGACUUGGGUAUAGGGGCGAAAGAGUAAUCGAACCAUCU
rnacentral:rRNA from 1 species